GACGAACCGUGCAAACGUUGUUCGGAAUCACUGGGCUUAAAGGGCGCGUAGGCGGGCGGUCAAGUCAGGGGUGAAAUCUUUCGGCUCAACCGGAAAAGUGCCCUUGAUACUGACGGUCUGGAGGGAGGUAGGGGCGUGCGGAACUUCCGGUGGAGCGGUGAAAUGCGUAGAUAUCGGAAGGAACACCGGUGGCGAAAGCGGCGCGCUGGACCUCUACUGACGCUGAGGCGCGAAAGCCAGGGGAGCAAAGCGGG
rnacentral:rRNA from 1 species